rnacentral:rRNA from 1 species
ACCGAUAGUGAACCAGUACCGUGAGGGAAAGGUGAAAAGCACCCCGGAAGGGGAGUGAAAUAGAACCUGAAACCGUGUGCUUACAAGUAGUCAGAGCCCGUUAAUGGGUGAUGGCGUGCCUUUUGUAGAAUGAACCGGCGAGUUACGAUUUGAUGCAAGGUUAAGCAGUAAAUGUGGAGCCGUAGCGAAAGCGAGUCUGAAUAGGGCGUUUAGUAUUUGGUCGUAGACCCGAAACCAGGUGAUCUACCCUUGGUCAGGUUGAAGUUCAGGUAACACUGAAUGGAGGACCGAACCGACUUACGUUGAAAAGUGAGCGGAUGAACUGAGGGUAGCGGAGAAAUUCCAAUCGAACCUGGAGAUAGCUGGUUCUCUCCGAAAUAGCUUUAGGGCUAGCCUCAAGUGAUGAUUAUUGGAGGUAGAGCACUGUUUGGACGAGGGGCCCCUCUCGGGUUACCGAAUUCAGACAAACUCCGAAUGCCAAUUAAUUUAACUUGGGAGUCAGAACAUGGGUGAUAAGGUCCGUGUUCGAAAGGGAAACAGCCCAGACCACCAGCUAAGGUCCCAAAAUAUAUGUUAAGUGGAAAAGGAUGUGGCGUUGCCCAGACAACUAGGAUGUUGGCUUAGAAGCAGCCAUCAUUUAAAGAGUGCGUAAUAGCUCACUAGUCGAGUGACACUGCGCCGAAAAUGUACCGGGGCUAAACAUAUUACCGAAGCUGUGGAUUGUCCUUUGGACAAUGGUAGGAGAGCGUUCUAAGGGCGUUGAAGCAUGAUCGUAAGGACAUGUGGAGCGCUUAGAAGUGAGAAUGCCGGUGUGAGUAGCGAAAGACGGGUGAGAAUCCCGUCCACCGAUUGACU